UUUUUUAUGAAGGACCUAUCAUAUAUUUGUUGCCAAAUUGGGCCAAAUCAUUUUUCUAAAAUAGUAGACCAUAUUUAACGUAUAAUUUAUCAAAUGAUUGGGUGUUAAAAGUUUUUAUCCACCUCUCGUGAAAAAGACAUUUAUUGUCGAUUCAUUUGGAAGCGGGUUAAAUUUGAACUGCAACUACAUUAUAUUUUGCUCUUUAU
rnacentral:lncRNA from 1 species